rnacentral:misc_RNA from 1 species
GAUGAAGAACGUAGCGAAACGCGAUAGUUAAUGUGAAUUGCAGAAUUCAGUGAAUCAUCGAGUCUUUGAACGCACAUUGCGCCCCUUGGUAUCCCGAGGGGCAUGCCUGUUCGAGCGUCAUUUCACCACUCAAGCCUGGCUUGGUGUUGGGCGACGUCCCCUUUGGGGACGCGCCUCGAAACGCUCGGCGGCGUGGCACCGGCUUUAAGCGUAGCAGAAUCUUUCGCUUUGGAAGUCGGGGCCCCGUCUGCCGGAAGACCUACUCGCAAGGUUGACCUCGGAUCAGGCAGGGAUACCCGCUGAACUUAAGCAUAUCAAUAAGCGGAGGA